GGCACGGGGGCUUAGUGGUUAGCAUGUUUGCCUUACACCAAGGUUGGGGGUUUGAAUCCCGCCUCCGUGCUA